CAGUAGCCGCGGUAAUACGAGGGGGGCAAGCGUUGUUCGGAAUUAUUGGGCGUAAAGGGUGCGUAGGCGGCUUGACAAGUCUUGUGUGAAAUCUAUGGGCUCAACCCAUAGUCUGCACGGGAAACUGUCGGGCUUGAGAAUGGGAGAGGUGAGUGGAAUUUCCGGUGUAGCGGUGAAAUGCGUAGAUAUCGGAAGGAACACCUGUGGCGAAAGCGGCUCACUGGACCAUUUCUGACGCUGAUGCACGAAAGCUAGGGGAGCAAACAGGAUUAGAUACCCCGGUAGUCCCUGUCUCUUAUAU
rnacentral:rRNA from 1 species